AAGGCGUGAGGAAGUAGUGAAGGCAUGGCUGGGCACCGGUAUCAGCCACAACCUGCACUCCCCGGGCACGUGGAGUGAGGAGCCCACACCAGGCCUCAAUACAGGAGCCUUGUGACCAGGAAGCAGCAAUGGCCAAGAUCAUACAAACAGUACAAAAGGGCCAAAAUGGUCUCUCUGCGGUGUAAAUUCCUGACAAUCAGGAGCUAUUUGUGCUUGGUGCUGAGCCUCUCCUACUGCAAAUUCUGCCAUUUGUACACCGAGAGCUGAGCAGAGGCACCUUUCAGAUAAUCAGCAAAGAAAACCUGCAUUUGACAUCAGCCAAAGUGGGAAAAAUGUUUAAAACCUCCUAUAAACCCUGGCGUGUACAAUCAGAAGAGGAGGCUUCACUUCACAAGGGAUGAAAAGAUACACUGGGUGAAGGCAUUGUUCACAAGGACUCUGACAAAGAAAGAGGGAAGGAAAGAAAGAGGGAUCAAGCAAGCAUUGGAAACAGAAGGCCAAACAAACUCUGAUCCUACCCAAGCUUGAGAUCCUGCUGCAGUCAGUAGUAGCUGACUGCAUCCCCCGGAGGCAAAUCUGGGGAGGAUGCAAUCAGUUGCCUUUUCUUUUCUUUACCACAGGGGAAUGUCUUAUUUACACACCUAUCCUGUCUGCUAGCUGUGCUGCAAGAGGCUGGGUGCAGCAAACAACUGCUCUGUGCUGGAGGGAAAAUUAAAAAAAAAAAACAAAAAAAAAACAUAAGAAGUGCCAGCUACCAAGCUACCAAACCGAAAGGAUAACAUUAGUAAGAUGGAAUUGUAUAC